AAGCAGCACUUCUUCCACCUGGCUCAGGAAUGCUUGUAGAAUGCAAUCUCAGAUGGUUGGGUAUGAGCGUUUGCCCUGGGGCUUGGUUUAAGGAGCUGUGCUCGCCCAGCAAAAUCCAGGAGCUGUUCCUGCGACACCCUCGCUUGAGCAGCCUGGUGAGGAAAGUAGAGGCCAGGAACUUAAAUUUUAUGACCUUGUAAUGGCCAGAGGCUCAAUCCCGUGACAGAAGUCUCACUGGCCAAGGCAAUUACUAAAAACAUGAGGAAGGAAAAAACCCCACAACCCCCAAACCUGUCCUUUUUGCAGAUUACCAACUAAACGACCUGUGAGCUGCAAUAGUUCUGCAAAAGAUGCUCUCAGGAGUGUUUUUUGCAGGGAAAAAGGUCAUAAAUAAUAAUAAAAAAAUGCAUGUGUGUGUAUUUUACAAAGCAAGGGGAAAAAUUCCUUCCUCUUCAAGCCCAUGGUCUGUGAAUAAUUUGUGAACAAGAGAAGCAGCUCCAUCUAUCUCACAUAGUGUUUGUUACAAAUCAUUUGCUCAGGUGUAAAUCUUCCUGCCAGGAUGGGAGCAGCAAAUCCUCCUUCAAUUUUUGUCUGCUGAAAAACUUCCAUAGCUAAACAUGAGAAAUUGGAUAGCACCCUUAGAUAUUGCUGUAACUGAAAGGCCAACGAGUAAUUGUUGCAGAAAGGUGGUUCAGCCCUUCCAGCCUCUAUGGCCAAGACCAAGGAUGCUCCACGAGGCAGAGGCACUGAGAGACCACUUGCUCCGUCCUGUUGGACCAUCUGUUUGGACUGUAAGCUCUGCACAGGUCAAGUAUUAUUCACUGAAGAGAUUCAUGAAUAAUUCUGAAUAACUGGACCAAUAUAUUUAGAAACUGUGCAAUCUGCAAACAGGGAGAGGAAAAAGCCUCAAAUAAAUUAUACAUUGUGCCUUUUUCCUGCAUCUCUGGAAAUGGAUUUGAUUGCCUUAUCACAGUCCCUGCUAUAUCUAUUUUUUCCCCCCGAUAAACCCCAAAAUCUCUCCUGAUAUAUGACUAACCCGACAAGGAUGAAAUCAACCGAACAGAACCAGUCAUCCUGCUCACAGGGAGUUACUUUCCACUUGGAAAAUCUAAAUCAUUCAGCCACGUGUGUGUGAAGCAGUUGAAUUAACUGGGGCGAGGCGAAUCUAACCCCAACCGGAGGAUGCUUCACUUCAGAAGGCAAAACAACCCAGAAGCAGGAUGUGCAGAGCGGCGCCUGCGAGGUCCCCAAUCCGUGAUGCCACACGCCACCUCGUGUCGGGCACAGGGAGUAGCUGGGAGCUCCUGCCCCAAUUUCCAGCCAUCUGACGUCAUUUCAGUGCUAAGGGGGGAAUUUUGCUUGGUUUUAUUUCUUUACACCCCAAAUAUUGCAAAAAUAGGGGGUGUAACCGUGUGAAGAAGACCUUGGGUCCUCCAUGGUAGGCGCGGUAAUUGCGUGUUGGGUGCUGGUGCUGGGUUUUGGCUCGUGUAAUUAAAUUAUAUGUUGAAUACUGCUGGAUGGAGGACCUGAUCCUGCCUUUUUAUAUGGGAUGGAGUGACUUGGCCAAGGCCAGCCUCGGAGUUGUUUCCAGAUGGAGCUUUGUGAUUCCCAGCAUUUUCCCCAAGCACAGUAGAUGCAGGAACUGGGAGCACCUUCUAAAGAGGCUCCAGAUUUGGAAGGAUUUGUGGCUGUGACCAUUGUCCCUCCUGCAGCACAGUGCGUGCUUGUGGAGAUAGAUGGAGAGUCACAUGGACUGCUCAACUACUGAACGAACAACCCCCCUUCUGCACUCUCCCAAAUGCCUGAGGACAAGGCCUGAGAAACAAAAGCGGAUGGAAAGUCUUAUCAUAUGGCUGUAGGCAGUAAUCCUUCUUAUUUUCCACAGAAGUAUGUAAAGUAUUAUUUGAAUUCCCUGAGACUAACAGCCUACUUUUGGAGGUGAAACUGCCAAGGAUUUGUAAUUGUUCACAUUGUAGAGGAAAUAAUAGAAUAUCUCAAAAGUAAGGAAAUUCUUGCUCCAAAAAUACUUUUUUCUAUGGUAUUUAGGAAAACAAACCCAAAACAGCUCAUUAUGGCUUCUCUGUCCUAUUUUAGUCCUAUUUUCAAAUGCAUCAUCGCUCUUCUAGUGAUUUAUUACACCCCAUCUCAACUACAGUCAGCUCUAAAUUGCAGUUAAUUUUAGCAGAAUUUUCAUCUUCUGUGCAGAAAAGGUAUUUGAUACUUGUGAUCACAGCUGCUGGGUUGUUAUGGAUUAAGGAACCAUGAACGCUGGUACCAUGUACCCAAAGGGGCACGCUUCCACCGUGUGUUAAACCUCUACAACCCCCCUGAAACCCAGCGGCUUUCUCCCUGCACAUUACUGGGUUUCAGAAGCAAAGUUAGAAACCAGAAUGGGUAAUGUUUUCAGCUGAGGUUGAGGAGCGUGGCUCUAGAGUCCUUGGUGCUUGCAGACCACUCAC